GAUGAACGCUGGCGGCGUGCCUAAUACAUGCAAGUCGAGCGAACAGAUGAGGAGCUUGCUCCUCUGACGUUAGCGGCGGACGGGUGAGUAACACGUGGAUAACCUACCUAUAAGACUGGGAUAACUUCGGGAAACCGGAGCUAAUACCGGAUAAUAUAUUGAACCGCAUGGUUCAAUAGUGAAAGACGGUUUUGCUGUCACUUAUAGAUGGAUCCGCGCCGCAUUAGCUAGUUGGUAAGGUAACGGCUUACCAAGGCAACGAUGCGUAGCCGACCUGAGAGGGUGAUUGGCCACACUGGAACUGAGACACGGUCCAGACUCCUACGGGAGGCAGCAGUAGGGAAUCUUCCGCAAUGGGCGAAAGCCUGACGGAGCAACGCCGCGUGAGUGAUGAAGGUCUUCGGAUCGUAAAACGCUGUUAUUAGGGAAGAACAAAUGUGUAAGUAACUAUGCACGUCUUGACGGUACCUAAUCAGAAAGCCACGGCUAACUACGU
rnacentral:rRNA from 1 species